rnacentral:rRNA from 1 species
GACGAACGCUGGCGGCGUGCCUAAUACAUGCAAGUCGAGCGCAGGAAGCCGUCCGAACCCUUCGGGGGGACGACGGUGGAAUGAGCGGCGGACGGGUGAGUAACACGUAAAGAACCUACCCAUAGGUCUGGGAUAACCACGAGAAAUCGGGGCUAAUACCGGAUGUGUCAGCGGACCGCAUGGUCCGCUGAUGAAAGGCGCUUCGGCGUCGCCCAUGGAUGGCUUUGCGGUGCAUUAGCUAGUUGGUGGGGUAACGGCCCACCAAGGCGACGAUGCAUAGCCGACCUGAGAGGGUGAUCGGCCACACUGGGACUGAGACACGGCCCAGACUCCUACGGGAGGCAGCAGUAGGGAAUCUUCCACAAUGGACGAAAGUCUGAUGGAGCAACGCCGCGUGAACGAUGAAGGCUUUCGGGUCGUAAAGUUCUGUUGUAAGGGAAGAACAAGUGCCGCAGGCAAUGGCGGCACCUUGACGGUACCUUGCGAGAAAGCCACGGCUAACUACGUGCCAGCAGCCGCGGUAACAC